rnacentral:miRNA from 1 species
GUGUGCAUUGUGUGCCAGUAUGUGCACACGCGUGUGUGCGCACGCACACACACACAC